AAUAUUGCGCAAUGGGGGGAACCCUGACGCAGCAACGCCGCGUGAGCGAGGAAGGCCUCCGGGUCGUAAAGCUCUGUCUAGAGGGAUGAAUGAUGACAGUACCUCUGGAGGAAGCUCCGGCUAACUACGUGCCAGCAGCCGCGGUAACACGUAGGGGGCGAGCGUUGUCCGGAAUUACUGGGCGUAAAGGGCGCGUAGGCGGUAGGUUAAGUCGGAUGUGAAAGUCCAUGGCUCAACCAUGGAAUUGCACAUGAAACUGAUCUACUUGAGUUCAGGAGAGGAGAGCGGAAUUCCUAGUGUAGCGGUGAAAUGCGUAGAGAUAUGGAGGAACACCAGUGGCGAAGGCGACUCUCUGGUCUGCAACUGACGCUGAGGCGCGAAAGCGUGGGGAUCAAACA
rnacentral:rRNA from 1 species